UCGGGAAUUUUGGGCAAUGGGCGAAAGCCUGACCCAGCAACGCCGCGUGAAGGAUGAAGUAUUUCGGUAUGUAAACUUCGAAAGAAUAGGAAGAAUAAAUGACGGUACUAUUUAUAAGGUCCGGCUAACUACGUGCCAGCAGCCGCGGUAAUACGUAGGGACCAAGCGUUGUUCGGAUUUACUGGGCGUAAAGGGCGCGUAGGCGGCAAUUCAAGUCAUCUGUGAAAUCUCCGGGCUUAACUCGGAACGGUCAGAUGAUACUGCUUUGCUAGAGUGCAGAAGGGGCAAUCGGAAUUCUUGGUGUAGCGGUGAAAUGCGUAGAUAUCAAGAGGAACACCUGAGGUGAAGACGGGUUGCUGGGCUGACACUGACGCUGAGGCGCGAAAGCCAGGGGAGCAAACGGGAUUAGAUACCCAGGUCUGAGCGGGCUGGCAAGGCGCAU
rnacentral:rRNA from 1 species